GCAGGCUCUCUCCCCGCCCCCGCGGGGCGGCGCGCACUCACCCACCCGCGCCGGAGCGGACCUUUGGCUUGGCUUGUCAGGGCUUGUCCAGGAGUUCCGCUCCUCUCUCCAACCGGGGUCCCCCUCCAGCGACCCUAAAGCUUCCCAGACUUCCGCUUCAAUUCCUGUCCGCCCCCCCACGCCCACCUCAACGUGGAGCGCAGUGGUCUCCGAGGAGCGCCGGAGCUGCCCCGCCUGCCCAGCGGGGUCAGCACUUCGCAUCAAGGCCCAAGAAAAGCAAGUCCUCCAGCGUUCUGAGCACCCAGGCCUGAGGGAAGGUCCUAACAGCCCCCGGGAGCCAGUCUCCAACGCCUCCCGCAGCAGCCCGCCGCUCCCAGGUGCCCGCGUGCGCCGCUGCCGCCGCAAUCCCACACGCGUCCCGCGCCCGCCCCACUUUGCCUAUCCCCGGGACUAAGACGGGGCUAGAGAGCAUAAGCACUGCCUGCAGCCUAACAUCUUGGCUUCUCCAUGAAGAAUACCAUAUUUUUUAAACUUUCCAGAAAAUAACUGAAAAGGAAUCAUUGGAUCAGGCUCUCCCCUCCCAUGGUCUCCCAUUACUGCCUCUGAUCAGGUCUGAAGAAAAGAAACUUGGAAAGACUUGCCCAAAGUCACACAGUUACUAGGUAACAGAAGUGAACUUCCAAAGCCUAUGCUGAAUCCAUUUCCUCUUCAGUUACCUCAGUGGCCUUAUCAUCAAGAUGUAAACUCCCUAA